AGAGUUUGAUCCUGGCUCAGGACGAACGCUGGCGGCGUGCCUAACACAUGCAAGUCGAGCGAUGAAGUUCCUUCGGGAAACGGAUUAGCGGCGGACGGGUGAGUAACACGUGGGUAACCUGCCUUAUAGUGGGGGAUAGCCUUCCGAAAGGAAGAUUAAUACCGCAUAAGAUUGUAGUAUCGCAUGAUAUAGCAAUUAAAGGAGACAAUCCGCUAUAAGAUGGACCCGCGUCGCAUUAGCUAGUUGGUGAGGUAAUGGCUCACCAAGGCGACGAUGCGUAGCCGACCUGAGAGGGUGAUCGGCCACAUUGGGACUGAGACACGGCCCAGACUCCUACGGGAGGCAGCAGUGGGGAAUAUUGCACAAUGGGCGAAAGCCUGAUGCAGCAACGCCGCGUGAGUGAUGACGGCCUUCGGGUUGUAAAACUCUGUCUUCAGGGACGAUAAUGACGGUACCUGAGGAGGAAGCCACGGCUAACUACGU
rnacentral:rRNA from 1 species